AGGGUUCGAUUCUGGCUCAGGAUGAACGCUGGCGGCGUGCUUAACACAUGCAAGUCGAACGGGAUCCAUCAGGCUUUGCUUGGUGGUGAGAGUGGCGAACGGGUGAGUAAUGCGUGACCGACCUGCCCCAUACACCGGAAUAGCUCCUGGAAACGGGUGGUAAUGCCGGAUGCUCCAGUUGAUCGCAUGGUCUUCUGGGAAAGCUUUCGCGGUAUGGGAUGGGGUCGCGUCCUAUCAGCUUGACGGCGGGGUAACGGCCCACCGUGGCUUCGACGGGUAGCCGGCCUGAGAGGGCGACCGGCCACAUUGGGACUGAGAUACGGCCCAGACUCCUACGGGAGGCAGCAGUGGGGAAUAUUGCACAAUGGGCGCAAGCCUGAUGCAGCGACGCCGCGUGAGGGAUGGAGGCCUUCGGGUUGUAAACCUCUUUUAUCGGGGAGCAAGCGAGAGUGAGUUUACCCGUUGAAUAAGCACCGGCUAACUACGUGCCAGCAGCCGCGGUAAUACGUAGGGUGCAAGCGUUAUCCGGAAUUAUUGGGCGUAAAGGGCUCGUAGGCGGUUCGUCGCGUCCGGUGUGAAAGUCCAUCGCUUAACGGUGGAUCCGCGCCGGGUACGGGCGGGCUUGAGUGCGGUAGGGGAGACUGGAAUUCCCGGUGUAACGGUGGAAUGUGUAGAUAUCGGGAAGAACACCAAUGGCGAAGGCAGGUCUCUGGGCCGUUACUGACGCUGAGGAGCGAAAGCGUGGGGAGCGAACAGGAUUAGAUACCCUGGUAGUCCACGCCGUAAACGGUGGAUGCUGGAUGUGGGGCCCGUUCCACGGGUUCCGUGUCGGAGCUAACGCGUUAAGCAUCCCGCCUGGGGAGUACGGCCGCAAGGCUAAAACUCAAAGAAAUUGACGGGGGCCCGCACAAGCGGCGGAGCAUGCGGAUUAAUUCGAUGCAACGCGAAGAACCUUACCUGGGCUUGACAUGUUCCCGACGGUCGUAGAGAUGCGGCUUCCCUUCGGGGCGGGUUCACAGGUGGUGCAUGGUCGUCGUCAGCUCGUGUCGUGAGAUGUUGGGUUAAGUCCCGCAACGAGCGCAACCCU
rnacentral:rRNA from 1 species